rnacentral:lncRNA from 1 species
AUGGGCCAAAAGAAUCUAACAGUGCUUACUGAAUUAAUUCUGAUGGAAAUCACAAGGCGGCUUGAGCUGCAGCUCUCCCUUUUUUGGGUCUUCCUCAUCAUCUGCACAUUCACAGUGGUGAGCAAAGAGUGCAUAAUCAUUUUGAACAAUGUGGACUUGGGUCUACACAACAUUUGUGUAUUUUUUAAAUCAGGUACCUGAAUUUUAUUAAUCUUGGUAAUUCUAUGGUCAUUUAUCCCAAGAUACUGGUAAACUUUGUUGUGGCUCAAAAUGCCAUUCCCUGUUAUGCAUGUACCAUGCAGAUGGCUUUCUUCAUUAUGUUCAUUAUCUGUGAACUUUUCGUCUCAUCAGCCAUGGCCUAUGACCACUAUGUGGACAUCCAUAGCCUUCUGCCAUAAAAUGUUAUGUCUCAGGAACUUUGUCAUGUGCUGGUGGUAUUCCAUACCUUUAUAGUACCUUUCAAGCUCUGAUGGUCACUAUAAAGAUUUUUAUAUUGGCCUUCUAUGGCUCCAAUGUCAUAAGUUAUUUCUACUGUUAAGAUGUUUCUUUGUUAGCCAUGGUGGACUCAAAUGCAUGAGGAAUAGAAAUGUUGAUCACACUAUUUUCAGUACUUAAUUUGAUAUUCUUUCUUCUGGUAGUCCUAAUGUCCUCCAUGCUGAUUCUAUUAACUGUUUGUUGAAUGCAUUCUGCAGAGAGCAGUAAAAAACUUUCUUCACGUAUGUUUCUUGUCUGAUAGUGGUGGUUGUGUUCUGUGGGUUUCUAUACUUUAUGUACUUGCAGCUCAAAUUCAGUUCCUUUUUUUUUGAUAAUAAUAAAAUGACCUCCAUGUUUUCCUCUUUAGUGAUUACCAUGCUUUACCAUUUGGUCUGUAGUGUAAAGAACAAAGGGAGUAAAAAAAAUGCCUUCUAUAGUUUUUUUAUGAAGCAG